CCUACGGGAGGCAGCAGUGGGGAAUAUUGGGCAAUGGGCGCAAGACUGACCCAGCAACGCCGCGUGAAGGAAGAAGGCUUUCGGGUUGUAAACUUCUUUUCUGAGGGGCGAAGAAAGUGACGGUACCUCCGGAAUAAGCCACGGCUAACUACGUGCAAGCAGCAGCGGUAAUACGGAGGUGGCAAGCGUUAUCCGGAUUUGUUGGGUGUAAAGGGCGUGUAGGCGGGAAAGCAAGUCAGAUGUGAAGACUCGGGGCUCAACCCUGAGCCUGCUUUUGAAACUGUUUGUCUUGAGUGCUGGAGAGGCAAUCGGAAGUCGGGGUGUAGCGGUGAAAUGCGUAGAUAUACGGAGGAACACCAGUGGCGAAGGCAGAUUGCUGG
rnacentral:rRNA from 1 species